UACGUAGGGGGCAAGCGUUGUCCGGAUUUAUUGGGCGUAAAGAGCGUGUAGGCGGCCACACAGGUCUGCUGUGAAAACUCGAGGCUCAACCUCGAGCUGUCGGUGGAAACCGUGUGGCUAGAGUCCGGAAGAGGAGAGUGGAAUUCCCGGUGUAGAGGUGAAAUUCGUAGAUAUCGGGAGGAACACCAGUGGCGAAGGCGGCGAUCUGGGAAGAUACUGACGCUGAGGUGCGAAAGCGUGGGGAGCAAACAGG
rnacentral:rRNA from 1 species